UACGUAGGGCGCAAGCGUUAUCCGGAAUUAUUGGGCGUAAAGAGCUCGUAGGCGGUUUGUCGCGUCUGCCGUGAAAGUCCGGGGCUCAACUCCGGAUCUGCGGUGGGUACGGGCAGACUAGAGUGAUGUAGGGGGAGACUGGAAUUCCUGGUGUAGCGGUGAAAUGCGCAGAUAUCAGGAGGAACACCGGUGGCGAAGGCGGGACUCUGGGCCGAUACUGACGCUGAGGAGCGAAAGCGUGGGGAGCAAACAGG
rnacentral:rRNA from 1 species